UACGAGGGGGGCAAGCGUUGUUCGGAAUUAUUGGGCGUAAAGGGUGCGUAGGCGGUGCGGUAAGUCUGUUGUGAAAUCUCCGGGCUCAACUCGGAGUCUGCAUCAGAAACUGCCGUGCUGGAGUGUGGGAGAGGUGAGUGGAAUUCCCGGUGUAGCGGUGAAAUGCGUAGAGAUCGGGAGGAACACCUGCGGCGAAAGCGGCUCACUGGACCAUAACUGACGCUGAGACACGAAAGCGUGGGUAGCAAACAGG
rnacentral:rRNA from 1 species